CGUACUAUUAUUGAAAUUGUCAUUUUUAGCCUUUUUAGCAAAGGGUAUUUAGAAGCAUUCUUAUCUUUUUGAUCAGCAAGAGUUGACCUAACAGAAUAUACAUAUUUCGAUUUUGUCACUUAGAAAUUGUCAAACGAACUAAUCGUGGUUCGACGGUACGCUUGUCAAUCGGUAUGUUUUCCAGAGCUGCUUCGGGUAACUAAUUGUGUCUGAGUUUGUGCGAAUGAGCGACGUCAGCGUCUUGAUCGCUGCCUUCACCAUUAAUCACAACAAAUCCAUGAUCGUCAAUGUGCUCCUGGCCAUUGCCCAGCUUGCUCAGCGUGGACAUAGCGGACUACGCCGGAUACGAUGCCAACGUCGCUGCUUAGACUACCACUGAGACUGUUAUCAUCGCUAAGAUCACGGAUGUCAACAUUUUGAGAGGUGGGCCUCUGCUUGGGCCUACAUCUCGAUGCCGGUGACCAAAUGGAGGGCAGAGUAGGAACAGUUUGCUGUUCUCCUUCUGAAAAAUGUAUGGGAGGAGAAGACACAGAAGAAAAUUCACAACGGCGAAACCUGACGAGAAAAUCGACUUACCAGACAAAGUUUCCAGAUAGAGCCGAUAGAGGCCGUUGUCGGAACUCACAGAUUUUUGUGUCUCACCACAAGCGACAUCUGGUUUUUUGUUUUGCUAUUUUUGGGACUGGGUGUUUUGCCAAAUGAGACAGGCAAUUUUAGGAAAAUCGACGGUAAGUUUAUGAAUUGGAGGUGCCGCAAUCGUUGAGCAGGUGAAUGGGAUUAUGGAAAGUGAAUCUCUUAGAGGUUAAUUAUGGUAGGUACAUUGGUAUAUUUCUUUCCCGUUGCAUCAUCAAUCAAGUAAUCCUCAUAGUUUCUAUGCAUUCCACCAGAAAGGCUGUAGCAUAUGCGCUAUUUUAGGCCAGGGCCAUGACCACAAUGGAUAAUUCUCCAAAUGAACACCAUGAACCCAUUAAUAAUUGUAGGUUCUUAUUGACUAGACGUUUUCUUGUUUUUGUCUUUGGAUCCUAAUGAUGACAUCUAUGGAUAUCCUAAAAUUAAUGUCAUCCAUUGCCAAAUUUAUAGUACAUAUAUUGCUGCUGUUGUUCUCGCCAGCACAACAAACAUAAAUUAAUUAGCAUAACAAGAUUUUAAGACUUCAAUUGAUCAGCUUUUUGUAUUUUUAAACAAAUACAAAACAAGACCAAGGAGUUUAUAUGAAUUAGUCUUUGAAGAAAAGUAUUUAUUCACAUCGUAACUUGAAGAUCUUGGAUUCUCUUUAGAUGACCAAAGCGUAGCUUUAAACCUUUAUAUAAUAAUCAUAACACAGUAUGCAAGGGUGAAAUUAUUGUGAAUGAAAAGAUGUGUCGACUGUUUAUGGUGCUGCGUAAGAGUGCUAAAAUAAUCCAGUUGAGGUAGUCAACCUUUGCGUUUUUGGGACUGCCUGGAUCAUGACCGCUGAAACUGAACAAUCAACCUUGUUAGGCGGAAGACCAAGAGCUGUAACCCAACCCGCGAGGAGUACAAAAUAUAAAGCGCUUUUUCCACAGGUCUGUACUCAUAACCAGUUGAACAAUGAAGCUGCGUUUAUUCCUGCUGAUCUCUGCUCUGACGAUAUUCUUUCAAGGACAAAUUCAAGCUCAAACUCAAGGACAACUCGUGACGGGGCUACGUACACGCCUCGUCCCAGUUCUGGAAAAUGGCCAGAUUCGGGUAGUGAAAUUUCUCGAAAUGGCAAGAACUGACAGAGAGAUGGUGAAGGAGCAAUUCAGUAGAAGACAAAUGAAUCUGGCAAAACCACUAAAGAGUGGCGCUAGGGCCCAAACCGAUUUGCCUAAUUGGCCAAGCAGUUAAUCAGUCAAAUGUUUGUUGUUUAAAAUGAAUUUUUGUUCGAAAUAAAAAGUAUUUGCAUUGCAAGGCAUUUUAAUGG
rnacentral:lncRNA from 1 species